CCUACGGGAGGCAGCAGUGAGGAAUAUUGGUCAAUGGCCGGAAGGCUGAACCAGCCAAGCCGCGUGAAGGACGAAGGUGCCAAGCAUUGUAAACUUCUUUUGUCAAGGGACAAAAUCAGGCUCGAGAGCCUGACCGAGGGUACUUGAAGAAAAAGCAUCGGCUAACUCCGUGCCAGCAGCCGCGGUAAUACGGAGGUGGCAAGCGUUAUCCGGAUUUACUGGGUGUAAAGGGCGAGUAGGCGGGAUUGCAAGUCAGAUGUGAAAACUAUGGGCUCAAACGAUAGAGUGCAUUUGAAACUGAAGUUCUUGAGUGAUGGAGAGGCAGGCGGAAUUCCCGGUGUAGCGGUGGAAUGCGUAGAUAUCGGGAGGAACACCAGUGGCGAAGGCGGCCUGCUGGACAUUAACUGACGCUGAGGCGCGAAAGCGUGGGGAGCAAACAGGAUUAGAUACCCUUGUAGUC
rnacentral:rRNA from 1 species